rnacentral:rRNA from 1 species
GGUGUGUAGGCGGUUCUCCAAGUUCGGUGUGAAAUCUCCCGGCUCAACCGGGAGGGUGCGCCGAAAACUGGGGGGCUAGAGUGCGGGAGAGGAGAGUGGAAUUCCUGGUGUAGCGGUGAAAUGCGUAGAUAUCAGGAGGAACACCGGUGGUGUAGACGGCUCUCUGGACCGUAACUGACGCUGAGACACGAAAGCGUGGGUAGCAAACAGGAUUAGAUACCCUGGUAGUCCACGCCCUAAACGAUGCAUAUUUGGUGUGGGCCGUUCAGUCGGUCCGUGCCGGAGCUAACGCGUUAAAUAUGCCGCCUGGGGAGUACAGUCGCAAGGCUGAAACUCAAAGGAAUUGACGGGGGCCCGCACAAGCGGUGGAGCAUGUGGUUCAAUUCGACGCAACGCGAAGAACCUUACCUGGGCUCGAACGGCUGGCCAACGAUCGUGGAAACACGGUUACCCCGCAAGGGGGUCCAGUCGAGGUGCUGCAUGGCUGUCGUCAGCUCGUGUCGUGAGAUGUUGGGUUAAGUCCCGCAACGAGCGCAACCCUCGUCCUGUGUUGCUCAAUCCGCAAGGAUCGCACUCGCAGGAGACCGCCAGCGAUAAGUUGGAGGAAGGUGGGGAUGA